UCUUCUUCUUCUUCAAUGAAACAGGAUAAAGCACCUUUUGUAGCAAAAUCAAUCAGCAAAAAGAAUGAGUAUGCCAUCACUUUGCAACAGUAUAACAUGGAUCUGGCUAAUGGAACCAAGACAUCUGGAGAUGAAUCUGACAAGCCCAAGCCUGCUGUAGUCAACGAGGUGAAUGAAGGUGGAGCAAGUGAAGAGAAGGCAGGAGGUGCUACUGAUUAGGGAGCUGGAUCAGUGAUUUGUGUCUCUCAAGUACUUCUUUCUGUUGUGUUAUCAUGUAUUAGUAGCUAGUUUACUUUUAAGGGAGAAGAAUAUAGUUUGCGUUGUUCCUAUAUUUUCCCCUUUCUGUUGUUGUUAACUGUGGGAUUAUAUUCACAUGUAACUUCAACCUCUUUUCGUGAUGAUAACUUUGGAUUUAGCUUUGAGCUUUAUUUUCUACAUUUUAUGACAUGUGUUUGCUCGCCUA